rnacentral:rRNA from 1 species
AGGACGAACGCUGGCGGCGUGCCUAACACAUGCAAGUCGAACGGGGCCCGCAAGGGUUCAGUGGCGAACGGGUGCGUAACACGUGAAGAAUUUGUCCAACGGCGGGGGAUAGCCGGCCCAACGGCCGGGUAAUACCGCGUACGACCCUCGAGGGGCAUCCCUUGAAGGUGAAAGCCGCAGGGCGCCGAUGGAGAACUUCGCGGCCUAUCAGCUAGUUGGUGAGGUCAUGGCUCACCAAGGCGACGACGGGUAGCUGGUCCGAGAGGAUGACCAGCCACAUUGGGACUGAGACACGGCCCAGACUCCUACGGGAGCAGCAGUGGGAAUAUUGCGCAAUGGGCGAAAGCCUGACGCAGCGACGCCGCGUGUGGGAUGACGGCCUUCGGUGUAAACCACUGUCGCGAGGGACGAAGAUCUGGACCGGUACCUGGAAAGGAGCACCGGCUAACCGUCUAGUGCCCAGCACGCCGACGGU